AGGGGAGGGCAGGAGAGCGGAGCAGAGGAGGGUGGGGGGUGGAAGAGUAUGCAGAAAAGUGGCAGUGGUCUUUUCACUGAGCGUUUGUGUCUGGAGUGUUCACUAGCUUCUACCACACUCUCUCUCUCUCUCUCUCUCUCUCGCUCUUUUUGCUCAGGGAAGAGGUUUAAACUGGAUUUAACUGAAUGAGGAAAGAAAGUAAAGUGAAAUAGAGGAGCAGAGCAGAACGUGUGUUGUACAUGUUUUUCAGAUAUCUCUGCAUGAAUAUAAAGAACGGUCCCCACACGGAACGGACGGCUGAAGUUGUGGAGUAGUGGAUGAACCUACAAAUUCAACAUGGAAUUGUGUAUUUCCCACAUAAGAGUAAUCAUAUCAGGAUUCAGCACAUCUGUGCAUUAAGCAAGAAAGUGAAAACAUGACUCAUCAGUCUCCUGGCACCCUCUUAGGGCCCAUCUUUGCCAUGGGAUAGCUGCCCAUGGAUGUGCCCAAUCAAAUAAACCUUAAUCUCUAAAGGCCUCCAGGCCAAACAGGCCGAUCCGGCUCCAUCCAGUCCUAUACAGGCAAGCCACAAGUCUGCCUGGGCCUUGCUUGCGAAGUCAUGCCCACUGCGCCCUCCCUGCAGCGGGUACGGGACUGAGGGGAAAUGUCCUCCUCCCUCCCUUCUUUCUCUCACCCAGGCCUGUUCGAGAUAGCCAAUAGUAUAACCAACUCGGACAAAGUUAAAGUGGUUCGAGACAAGCUUUCAUCCAAUCAGAGCACACUGCAGUAGAGCAAGCAGGUGGGUGGGGGGUGGAAAGGAGAGAGACAAGGGGAAAGACAAAGGAAACGGAAGAUGGAGCGAUUGACUUGGCACAAGGGAGAAGAAUAGAAAUCGAGAUAGAUGGAGGAGAAAAGAACAUGUUGUUUGUCAGAGAGGAAGCAACGAGUAUCGACUGUUGCUGCACUUAUUGAUCGUUCUCAAAUGCUGUUUAUCCAGCACAGUCACCGAGACAUGUAUCUUCACGUGUGCACACACCCAGACGCUGUGUGAAUUUUGUAACAUUUGUGCAAUUGUUGUAACAACCGUAACUGCCUGUGUUCUUUGAAUAGUAACACCCACAUUGUGAAUUCUGGACCUCAGGGCAGGAGACAGACACACUCCAUGCGUCUUCCUGCCAAGAUUCGCCAAGUUCACUCACCAGUGAGAAAUUGGUUAGUGUAGCAGACUGACUCCUCCGCCUCAUAUCGCUCAUCCUUUUCCAGCCAUCAAUAGACGGAUGACCCAGGCGGACCAGAGUUGAUGCAGGAAUGGGCAGAGAGCAGAGCUCCCACACACACUGAGAGUCUAUCUAUCCUUGUCCGUUUCAAUAGAUGAAGGGAAGAGAGGUGAUUGAAUGAGUUCAGCUGCAUUGCUUUGCAUUCUGCUUCAGGACUGCAGAAUCCUUCUGUCUGUUCAUCUCUCCAUCUUUUCAUCUUCUGUCUUGCUUCCAUUUAUUGACCGCGGUUUGUCCUCUCUGAUACCACACACACACACA